rnacentral:rRNA from 1 species
CACGCCCUAAACGAUGUCAACUGGUUGUUGGGGAUUUAUUUUCUCAGUAACGAAGCUAACGCGUGAAGUUGACCGCCUGGGGAGUACGGCCGCAAGGUUAAAACUCAAAGGAAUUGACGGGGACCCGCACAAGCGGUGGAUGAUGUUCUUUAAUUCGAUGCAACGCGAAAAACCUUACCCACCUUUGACAUGUACGGAAUCCUUUAGAGAUAGAGGAGUGCUCGAAAGAGAGCCGUAACACAGGUGC